rnacentral:rRNA from 1 species
UGGGGAAUCUUGGACAAUGGGCGAAAGCCUGAUCCAGCCAUGCCGCGUGAGUGAAGAAGGCCUUAGGGUUGUAAAGCUCUUUCAGCGGGGAAGAUAAUGACGGUACCCGCAGAAGAAGCCCCGGCUAACUUCGUGCCAGCAGCCGCGGUAAUACGAAGGGGGCUAGCGUUGUUCGGAAUUACUGGGCGUAAAGCGCGCGUAGGCGGACUGGUCAGUCAGGGGUGAAAGCCCGGGGCUUAACCUCGGAACUGCCUUUGAUACUACCAGUCUAGAGUCCGGCAGAGGUGAGUGGAAUUCCUAGUGUAGAGGUGAAAUUCGUAGAUAUUAGGAAGAACACCAGUGGCGAAGGCGGCUCACUGGGCCGAGACUGACGCUGAGGCGCGAAAGCGUGGGGAGCAAACAGGAUUAGAUACCCUGGUAGUCCACGCCGUAAACGAUGGAUGCUAGCCGUUGGACAGCAUGCUGUUCAGUGGCGCAGCUAACGCAUUAAGCAUCCCGCCUGGGAAGUACGGCCGCAAGGCUA